rnacentral:rRNA from 1 species
UACCAGCACCCCGAGUGGUCGGGACGUUUAUUGGGCGUAAAGAGCGUGUAGGCGGCCAGGUAGGUCUGCUGUGAAAACUCGAGGCUCAACCUCGAGACGUCGGCGGAAACCAUCUGGCUAGAGUCCGGAAGAGGAGAGUGGAAUUCCUGGUGUAGCGGUGAAAUGCGCAGAUAUCAGGAAGAACACCCGUGGCGAAGGCGGCUCUCUGGGACGGUACUGACGCUGAGACGCGAAAGCGUGGGGAGCGAACAGG